rnacentral:rRNA from 1 species
UACGUAGGGUGCGAGCGUUGAUCGGAAUUACUGGGCGUAAAGCGUGCGCAGGCGGUUUUGUAAGCCAGAUGUGAAAGCCCCGGGCUUAACCUGGGAAUGGCAUUUGGGACUGCAAGGCUAGAGUGCGGCAGAGGAGACUGGAAUUCCUGGUGUAGCAGUGAAAUGCGUAGAUAUCAGGAGGAAUACCGAUGGCGAAGGCAGGUCUCUGGGCUGACACUGACGCUCAUGCACGAAAGCGUGGGGAGCAAACAGG